UUUUACUAUAAAUUAAUUGAUAAACCGAAUAAUUUUUGCAAAAAAAUACAUACAUAUUUAAUUUAUAAUUAGAUAAGCUGCAGAAAAUGAUCCAUUCUUCUUUGAUGUAAUUUGUUAAGACUUUGCUUACACUAACGUGAUAAUAAGACAAAAAGAAAUGAUGGACAAAAAUUAAAUACAUAGAAUAUAAAAUUUAUGGACAUACAGAUUAGA